AGGACGAACGCUGGCGGCGUGCUUAACACAUGCAAGUCGAGCGGAAAGGCCCUUCGGGGUACUCGAGCGGCGAACGGGUGAGUAACACGUGGGCAACCUGCCCCUAGCUCUGGGAUAACUCCGGGAAACCGGUGCUAAUACCGGAUACGACCUCAUUUGGCAUCCUUUGAGGUGGAAAGAUUUAUUGGCUAGGGAUGGGCCCGCGGCCUAUCAGCUUGUUGGUGGGGUAAUGGCCUACCAAGGCGACGACGGGUA
rnacentral:rRNA from 1 species